rnacentral:rRNA from 1 species
GAUGAACGCUAGCGGCAGGCUUAACACAUGCAAGUCGAGGGGUAUGGUUCUUCGGUGUUUGAGACCGGCGCACGGGUGCGUAACGCGUAUGCAAUCUGCCUUACACUAAGGGAUAGCCCAGAGAAAUUUGGAUUAAUACCUUAUAGUAUAUUGAUGUGGCAUCACAUUAUUAUUAAAGAUUUAUCGGUGUAAGAUGGGCA